AGCGCGUGUAGGCUGCUUCGAAAGUCGGAUGUGAAAGCCCUGGGCUCAACCUAGGAAGUGCAUUCGAAACUUCGAAGCUGGAGUCCUGGAGAGGAUAGCGGAAUUCUCGGUGUAGAGGUGAAAUUCGUAGAUAUCGAGAGGAACACCGGUGGCGAAGGCGGCUAUCUGGACAGUGACUGACGCUGAGACGCGAAAGCGUGGGGAGCAAAACAGGAUUAGAUACCCUGGUAGUCCACGCCGUAAACGAUGGGUGCUAGGUGUCGCGGGGCUUUGACCCCUGCGGUGCCGUAGCUAACGCAUUAAGCACCCCGCCUGGGGAGUACGGCCGCAAGGCUAAAACUCAAAGGAAUUGACGGGGGCCCGCACAAGCGGUGGAGCAUGUGGUUCAAUUCGACGCAACGCGCAGAACCUUACCUGGGCUAGAAAAUGCAGGGACCUGGUUGAAAAAUCGGGGUGCUCUUCGGAGAACCUGUAGUUAGGUGCUGCAUGGCUGUCGUCAGCUCGUGUCGUGAGAUG
rnacentral:rRNA from 1 species